AGAGCGAACGUUUGCGGCGGGCCUAACACAUGCAAGUCGAACGGGCAGGGGUAACCCUGUCAGUGGCGCACGGGUGCGUAACACGUGGGUAAUCAACCCUUUGGACUGGGACAACCCGGGGAAACUCGGGCUAAUACCGGAUGUGGCAUCGUGGUCUUCGGGCCGUGAUGCGAAAGCCUCGCAAGGGGCACCAGAGGACGAGCCCGCGGCCCAUCAGCUAGUUGGUGAGGUAAUGGCUCACCAAGGCUAAGACGGGUAGCUGGUCUGAGAGGAUGAUCAGCCACACUGGAACUGAGACACGGUCCAGACUCCUACGGGAGGCAGCAGUGGGAAUAUUGCGCAAGUGGGCGAAAGCCUGAACGCAGCCACGCCGCGUGAGCGAUGAAGGUCUCGGAUCGUAAAGCUCGUGGUGGGAGAAGAAGAAGUCAAGGCCGGUGAAAGCGCCGGACCUGACGUAUCUCCGUAGCAAGCACCGGCUAACGUCCGUGCCAGCA
rnacentral:rRNA from 1 species